rnacentral:tRNA from 13 species
AGCCACCAGUGAGUAUUGAACUCACGACCACUGGUUUUUAAGACCAUUGCUCUAACCACUGAGCUAUGAUGAU